AGGGAAGAGGAAUGGCGGGAGGGUUCUCUCUACUGGAAAACAAUCCUUUGCUUUGAAAGGAACAUCUCUAUGAUCUGGGAAGCAGCUUAUUCAGAGGAAGGGGAGAACAUCUGCUAUCAUCUCUUAGCUUGGUCACCCAUGUCUGCACUCAUCUCUGACCGCUGCGGGGCUUCAGUUAUACAUUCAUCUUUAAGACAAAGUGUGGAGAUCUUGAAACUCAUAAUAUGAAGGCAGACCUUUGUAAAGCCCAAGAGUCCUUCACACCACCAUGAGGGUCUUCUAUGAUAUCAUCUUUGCAACAUUGGGAUUGUUCUCUUUCACUCUUUUGGGCUAUCACAAGCCGAUGUCUGCUGCUUUGUGUGCUCCCAAUUGUCAUAGCUUUGAACUAGGGCUAUGAUCUAUGUGUAGAAGCUUCCUUCACUGUGACUAAGGUUCUUUAUUGCCGCUCUUGAUUGUGGCUGUUGAAGCUUAAGAUCAUGGUUGUCCCAAGUCAUGUCUCUUAUUUGCAAUUUCCGAGACUCGUUAUUGACAUUGCAAUAUUUCUAAUAAUUGUAUGACUUUUACAGUGAAUUCAUAAUUUUGGCCUGCUAGAUGUCUUUUUUUUCAGUUGUAGAAUCAUUGCAGUUUUUUUGAAAAUUUCUUUUUGUAGUUAUUUUAACACAUGUACUAUUAAAUAAAUGGUUGUUUUAUUAUGCAAAUACGGGUAUUCAUUACAUAUGUAUUAAUAUAACGUGUUUUUUU